rfam:Oryza sativa Japonica Group DNA, chromosome 1, cultivar: Nipponbare, complete sequence.
AAAAAAGACGAACCUGAGUUUCUGUGUCCAACGUUUGACUGUCCGUCUUAUAUGAAAUUAUUUUAUAAUUAGCAUUUUCAUUAUUUUUAGAUGAUAAAACAUGAUUAAUACUUUAUGCGUGACUUGUCUUUUUUUUUCAUAACUUUUUUAAAUAGUUAAAUAUUGGACACGGAAACUCAGGAUUUGUCUUUUU